AGAAAGUAUGCAAGAACUGCUAACUCAUGCCUCCGCGCCUAUCCUCGCGGCUUUCUU
rnacentral:tRNA from 1 species